UACAGAGGGUGCAAGCGUUAAUCGGAUUUACUGGGCGUAAAGGGCGCGUAGGUGGUUGUUUAAGUGAGAUGUGAAAGCCCCGGGCUCAACCUGGGAACUGCAUCUUAUACUGGGCAACUGGAGUACAUGAGAGGGUAGUGGAAUUUCCGGUGUAGCGGUGAAAUGCGUAGAUAUCGGAAGGAACACCAGUGGCGAAGGCGGCUACCUGGCAUGAUACUGACACUGAGGCGCGGAGAGCGUGGGGAGCAACAGG
rnacentral:rRNA from 1 species